GCCGAUGUGGCUCAGGUGGUAGAGCAAUUGAUUCGUAAUCAAUAGGUCGGGAGUUCGAGUCUCCCCAUCGGCACCA
rnacentral:tRNA from 8 species